rnacentral:rRNA from 1 species
AUUGAACGCUGGCGGCAGGCCUAACACAUGCAAGUCGAGCGAGCGGCGGACGGGUGAGUAAUGUAUGGGGACUGCCCGAUCGAGGGGGAUAACUACUGGAAACGGUGGCUAAUACCGCAUACUAUCGGAUAACCCAUAUGGGAUUAGCUAGUAGGUGGGGUAAAGGCUCACCUAGGCGACCAUCUCCAGCUGGUCUGAGAGGAUGAUUGUCAACACUGGGACUCGUACCCGGCCCAGUCUCCUACGGAGGCAGCAGUGGGGAAUAUUGCACAAUGGGGGCAAGCCUUAGGGAGCCAUGCCGCUUGUAUGAAGAAGGCCUUAGGGUUGUAAAGUACUUUCAGCGGGGAGGCGUUACCCGCAGAAGAAGCACCGGCUAACUCCGUGCCAGCAGCCGCGGUAAUUC